CACGUAGGGCGCAAGCGUUGUCCGGAAUUAUUGGGCGUAAAGAGCUCGUAGGCGGUCUGUUACGUCUGCUGUGAAAACCCGGGGCUUAACCCUGGGCUUGCAGUGGAUACGGGCAGACUAGAGGCAGGUAGGGGAGAAUGGAAUUCCCGGUGUAGCGGUGAAAUGCGCAGAUAUCGGGAGGAACACCGGUGGCGAAGGCAGCCCCCUGGGCUGAGAUUGACGCUCAGGCACGAAAGCGUGGGGAGCAAACAGG
rnacentral:rRNA from 1 species